AAGAUGACAAUCAAGUGGCAAAAUGAACGGAACUGCAUAGGUUUAACCGAAUUCGACUAAGUUAAUGCAUUUUGAGAUGACUGUGGCUCUCUGAAAAGGAGGGAGGAGAUGAAGGCCAUGAAGAGCUGCUGUAGUUGACUGUGAGCUCAACCUCCAAUUCCUUGUCUUGGACUCCAGUGGAAAACUCCUCAGGGUGGUCAUGGAUAUUAGCCAGCUGGCAGCUCUAGGCCUGGAAGGAGCCCUGGAUGUCUUUGAUAACCCUAUCAUCUGGGGCAAACUACGGUCAAAUCACCUCAGAGCCUUCUCUGCCUACUCUGCACCCAUCAGAGAUUGGGGCACCAAGAGUCCGAUUCAAAGCUCCAAAGGAGAACUGCCGGCGAUAAACACAUCACUACAGUCUCGUAGAAUGGAGGGAUCAUCAGUGCGUUCACCUUUCAGCCACAACUGCACACGUAGGUAACUGAGGCCCAGAGCAGUGAAGUGACUUCCCC